rnacentral:lncRNA from 14 species
UGCAACCUGAAGUGUUCUUAAUUAUGCUGUCUUCAACAAUUCCAGCCUAUACUCACACAUCCCCACACUCAUACAAACAUGUGCAAAAUCCGGAAUGUUUUAACCUUUACUUUAUCAAAACUAAACAUUUGAUUUGCAAUCAGCCAAGAAAAAAAUAGUAGUUCCUGACCUUAGAAACGCAAUUCCUUCAAAUCCAGAUUAUAGGACUUUGACAUUCAGCAUCUUGAAGAAGGAGAACAGGGACCUGGUGCUGCUGGACAUCUGGCUGAAAGCCACCUUUGUCUACCACAGGACAAGAGUCAAGGCAAUGCUGCUUGCCAUGUUGUUCUUUAGAGAACAGACAUGGGAAUGGAUGCUCUACAGUGGAUUGCUCACCUCCAAUUACUGCUGCACGCUCUGCCUGUCCUGGAAACCCAAACCCAGGGCGGCAAACAGCCAGAUUAAGACAAAACCAGCCCAUUUUGAGCGUCAAGUUUGACCUCCCAUGUUGCCCAAGCCAAAAACCACUCUAGUUCAGAAAUUUCCUGCCUCCAGGCUAUUGCUUGCUGCUGAGCCAGAGUCUGGCAGGUUGGAAACUUCAGCUUUCCGUCCACUGUUGGAUAGAAGAUAGAAGAAGAAGACAAGGAAAGAGGCCCUGUCAGGGCUCUCUGCAGAUGCUGACAUGAUUUGCAUGAACAUUCCUUGGGAUAUGCACACCUGGGAGUGCAGCAGUGAAGAGGGCCAAGAUUCCUGCCAGGAUCUGCAAGGUUGAAGUUGCAUCUCCUACAGCACACUGCCCACUGACAGCCAGAGCACCCUCAGUGCCCUGAAGGGCUGAGAGCCACUCACAGCCCCUCAGUGGCAAUGACAGACAGGACACGGGGUCUGUUUGUCUUUGCAAACUGGGGCUCCCCCAUUGCCUGCACUGGGAGCUGUGGAAUUGCUGUGCUAUCCCAGCCUCAAGGUGUUUUACAGCUCUCUUGCUCUUAAAGUGGGGGGAAAAAAAGAGAUGCCAGAUGUCAGAAGGUUGUUAUAGCUGCUUUGCUUUAUUGAUAGAUACCGUGUUACAAAUGAGAAGCGCAAUACAUGAAAAAACCAUCUGAGUCUUGUCUACUGUUGAGUGUAUGCAAGUGAAAUAAUCCCCAAUACAUUAACACCUUUCCCAGGCCUCCCCACAACCAUGUAAACACCAGUGGACAAUAAUACUUGCAACAAGGAAAUCAGGUGUAUUUUUAAAAAUAACAAACAUGGUUCUUCCCUUCAUUUAGUGCAGGUACAUCACUGAAAAAACAAUGUUUUGAGAGCAGGUGGAAUGAAAGAGAUGAAGCUGCUAUGAGAUACCAAGAUACAGGAACCAGUUUGGAGGCUCAGUCCAUCCUGAUGGCACUAGUAUGACUCACUGAAAGCUGGGAAAACAGCUCAGCUGCUUUCUGGAAUAAAAAAGAAAAUAACAUAACA